rnacentral:rRNA from 1 species
AUACAAAACCAAUGCCCUUCGGGGCUCUCUUGGUGAUUCAUGAUAACUUCUCGAAUCGCACGGCCCCGCGCCGGCGAUGGUUCAUUCAAAUUUCUUCCCUAUCAACUUUCGAUGCUACGGUAUUGUCCUAGCAUGGUUA